GAUGAACGCUAGCGGCAGGCCUAACACACGCAAGUCGAGGGGUAGAACACUUCGGUGUUUGAGACCGGCGCACGGGUGCGUAACGCGUAUGCAAUCUACCUUAUACAGGGGAAUAGCCCAGAGAAAUUUGGAUUAAUGCCCCAUAGCAUUACGACUUGGCAUCAAGAUGUAAUUAAAGUUCCAACAGUAUAAGAUGAGCAUGCGUCCCAUUAGUUAGUUGGUAAGGUAACGGCAUACCAAGGCAAUGAUGGGUAGGGGUCCUGAGAGGGAGAUCCCCCACACUGGUACUGAGACACGGACCAGACUCCUACGGGAGGCAGCAGUGAGGAAUAUUGGUCAAUGGGCGCAAGCCUGAACCAGCCAUGCCGCGUGCAGGAUGAAGCAUCUAUGGUGUGUAAACUGCUUUUGUACGGGAAGAAACACCUCUUCGUGAAGAGGCUUGACGGUACCGUAAGAAUAAGGAUCGGCUAACUCCGUGCCAGCCGCCGCGGUAA
rnacentral:rRNA from 1 species